rnacentral:pre_miRNA from 1 species
AAUGGGAUAGCUGGGUCAAAUGGUGAUUCCAUUCCAAGUUUUCUAAGGAACCUCCAUAGUGCUUUCCAGAUUGGUUGUACCAGUUCGCAGUCCUUCCAGCAAU